GGCGGCGCGCCUAACACAUGCAAGUCGAACGGAGCUGUUUUCUCUGAAGUUUUCGGAUGGAAGAGAGUUCAGCUUAGUGGCGGACGGGUGAGUAACACGUGAGCAACCUGCCUUUCAGUGGGGGACAACAUUUGGAAACGAAUGCUAAUACCGCAUAAGACCACAGUGUCGCAUGGCACAGGGGUCAAAGGAUUUAUCCGCUGAAAGAUGGGCUCGCGUCCGAUUAGCUAGAUGGUGAGGUAACGGCCCACCAUGGCGACGAUCGGUAGCCGGACUGAGAGGUUGAACGGCCACAUUGGGACUGAGACACGGCCCAGACUCCUACGGGAGGCAGCAGUGGGGAAUAUUGCACAAUGGGGGAAACCCUGAUGCAGCGACGCCGCGUGGAGGAAGAAGGUCUUCGGAUUGUAAACUCCUGUCCCAGGGGACGAUAAUGACGGUACCCUGGGAGGAAGCACCGGCUAACUACGUGCCAGCAGCCGCGGUAAAACGUAGGGUGCAAGCGUUGUCCGGAAUUACUGGGUGUAAAGGGAGCGCAGGCGGAUUGGCAAGUUGGGAGUGAAAUCUAUGGGCUCAACCCAUAAAUUGCUUUCAAAACUGUCAGUCUUGAGUGGUGUAGAGGUAGGCGGAAUUCCCGGUGUAGCGGUGGAAUGCGUAGAUAUCGGGAGGAACACCAGUGGCGAAGGCGGCCUACUGGGCACUAACUGACGCUGAGGCUCGAAAGCAUGGGUAGCAAACAGGAUUAGAUACCCUGGUAGUCCAUGCCGUAAACGAUGAUUACUAGGUGUGGGAGGAUUGACCCCUUCCGUGCCGCAGUUAACACAAUAAGUAAUCCACCUGGGGAGUACGACCGCAAGGUUGAAACUCAAAGGAAUUGACGGGGGCCCGCACAAGCAGUGGAGUAUGUGGUUUAAUUCGAAGCAACGCGAAGAACCUUACCAGGUCUUGACAUCGGAUGCAUACCUAAGAGAUUAGGGAAGUCCUUCGGGACAUCCAGACAGGUGGUGCAUGGUUGUCGUCAGCUCGUGUCGUGAGAUGUUGGGUUAAGUCCCGCAACGAGCGCAACCCUUAUCCCCAGUAGCCAGCGGUUCGGCCGGGCACUCUGAGGAGACUGCCAGGGAUAACCUGGAGGAAGGUGGGGAUGACGUCAAAUCAUCAUGCCCCUUAUGACUUGGGCUACACACGUGCUACAAUGGCGUAAACAAAGGGAAGCGAGACCGUGAGGUGGAGCAAAUCCCAAAAAUAACGUCUCAGUUCGGACUGUAGUCUGCAACCCGACUACACGAAGCUGGAAUCGCUAGUAAUCGCAGAUCAGAAUGCUGCGGUGAAUACGUUCCCGGGUCUUGUACACACCGCCCGUCACACCAUGGGAGUUGGAAAUGCCCGAAGUCAGUGACCCAACCGCAAGGAGGGAGCUGCCGAAGGCAGGUUCGAUAACUGGGGUGAAGUCAUAA
rnacentral:rRNA from 1 species